UUAGUGGCAGACGGGUGAGUAAUGCAUAGGAAUCUACCUAGUAGUAUGGGAUAGCCACUAGAAAUGGUGGGUAAUACUGUAUAAUCCCUGCGGGGGAAAGAUUUAUCGCUAUUAGAUGAGCCUAUGUUAGAUUAGCUAGUUGGUAGGGUAAAGGCCUACCAAGGCGAUGAUCUAUAGCUGGUCUGAGAGGAUGAUCAGCCACACUGGAACUGAGAUACGGUCCAGACUCCUACGGGAGGCAGCAGUGGGGAAUAUUGGACAAUGGGCGCAAGCCUGAUCCAGCUAUGCCGCGUGAGUGAGGAAGGCCUUAGGGUUGUAAAACUCUUUCAGUAGGGAAGAUAAUGACGGUACCUACAGAAGAAGUCCCGGCAAACUCCGUGCCAGCAGCCGCGGUAAUACGGAGGGGGCAAGCGUUGUUCGGAAUUAUUGGGCGUAAAGGGCAUGUAGGCGGUUCGGUAAGUUAAAGGUGAAAUGCCAGGGCUUAACCCUGGAGCUGCU
rnacentral:rRNA from 1 species